AAACUUCGCACAGUAUGGCUUCAUCACCAAGUUCUUCCUCCAGCCAACUCCAUUAGGUGAGCAAAGUAUCGAAGGCAGAUUAGCGAUGCAAAAAGUGUACCACACUCGAAAAGAAAUUGCACCACGAACGUCGUCGGAAAGCGGAAAGUGAGGAGCAGCAGAAACAGAACAGAAACAAGAACAGAAAAUUAAAAAAAAAACGGAUUAUCAAAAUAUCCCGGAGCCCAGUUGCAAGCCCAGUUGACAAGCUUGCAGCCUCCUCAAAAAUUGAACCAGAUUCUAGGAGCUUCCCCGAUGAUCGAAGGAUUUUGUGGACAAGAAUCGACUCAACACGGAGGAAAUGA